rnacentral:piRNA from 1 species
UAAUAGGUUGUAAGGAUUGAGAA